UAGGCCUUGAGCCGUCGAGGCAUGGGAACCGAGAGGUUCCCGGGAAUGCGGUGCGGCUCUCCGGGGCCAAGGCCGCAGCUGCCCCCGCAACUGUGAUUGCUCGUCAAUCGCGCGGCGAACGCCACUGGGUCCGUCCCGGGAAGGCGCCGCGUCGAGAGCAAGAGCCAGGAGACCGGCCUCGACGGAUACGAAACC
rnacentral:ncRNA from 2 species